GACGAACGCUGGCGGCGUGCUUAACACAUGCAAGUCGAACGGUAAGGCCCUUCGGGGUACACGAGUGGCGAACGGGUGAGUAACACGUGGGUGAUCUGCCCUGCACUUCGGGAUAAGCCUGGGAAACUGGGUCUAAUACCGGAUAGGACCACUGCCUGCAUGGGUGGUGGUGGAAAGCUUUUGCGGUGUGGGAUGGGCCCGCGGCCUAUCAGCUUGUUGGUGGGGUGAUGGCCUACCAAGGCGACGACGGGUAGCCGGCCUGAGAGGGUGACCGGCCACACUGGGACUGGGAUACGGACCAGACUCCGACGGGAGGGAGCAGUGGGGAAUAUUGCACAAUGGGCGCAAGCCUGACGCAGCGACGCCGCGUGAGGGAUGACGGCCUUCGGGUUGUAAACCUCUUUCAGCACCGACGAAGCGCAAGUGACGGUAGGUGCAGAAGAAGGACCGGCCAACUACGUGCCAGCCGCCGCCGUAA
rnacentral:rRNA from 1 species